rnacentral:rRNA from 1 species
GACGAACGCUGGCGGCGCGCUUAACACAUGCAAGUCGAGCGAAGCGGCGGACGGGUGAGUAACACGUGAGUAACCUGCCUUAGACAUUGGGAUAGCCUCGGGAAACCGGGAUUAAUACCAAAUGGUCUAAGAUGGACUCGGGUCCCAUUAGCUGGUUGGUGAGGUAACGGCCCACCAAGGCGACGAUGGUUAGCCGGCCUCGGAGGGUGAGCGGCCACAUUGGAGCGGGGAAGCGGUCCGAACUCUACGGGAGGGAGCAGUGGGGAAUAGUGCACAAUGGAGGGAACGCUGAUGCAGCGACGCCGGGUGAACGAAUAAGGCUUUCGAGUCGUAAAGUUCUUUUAUAUGGGAAGCGGUACCAUAAGAAAAAGCCCCGGCUAACUACGUGCCAGCAGCCGCGGUAAUAC